GCAGUCGAACGGUAACAGGGAGAAGCUUGCUUCUUUGCUGACGAGUGGCGGACGGGUGAGUAAUGCUUGGGAAUCUGGCUUAUGGAGGGGGAUAACUACGGGAAGCUGUAGCUAAUACCGCGUAAUAUCUUCGGAUUAAAGGGUGGGACUUUCGGGCCACCUGCCAUAAGAUGAGCCCAAGUGGGAUUAGGUAGUUGGUGGGGUAAAGGCCUACCAAGCCGACGAUCUCUAGCUGGUCUGAGAGGAUGACCAGCCACACUGGAACUGAGACACGGUCCAGACUCCUACGGGAGGCAGCAGUGGGGAAUAUUGCACAAUGGGGGGAACCCUGAUGCAGCCAUGCCGCGUGAAUGAAGAAGGCCUUCGGGUUGUAAAGUUCUUUCGGUGAUGAGGAAGGUGUUUGUUUUAAUAGAGCAAGCAAUUGACGUUAGUCACAGAAGAAGCACCGGCUAACUCCGUGCCAGCAGCCGCGGUAAUACGGAGGGUGCGAGCGUUAAUCGGAAUGACUGGGCGUAAAGGGCACGCAGGCGGUGACUUAAGUGAGAUGUGAAAGCCCCGAGCUUAACUUGGGAAUUGCAUUUC
rnacentral:rRNA from 1 species